UGGGGAAUCUUCCACAAUGGACGCAAGUCUGAUGGAGCAACGCCGCGUGAGUGAAGAAGGUCUUCGGAUCAUAAAGCUCUGUUGUUGGUGAAGAAGGAUAGAGGCAGUAACUGGUCUUUAUUUGACGGUAAUCAACCAGAAAGUCACGGCUAACUACGUGCCAGCAGCCGCGGUAAUACGUAGGUGGCAAGCGUUGUCCGGAUUUAUUGGGCGUAAAGCGAGCGCAGGCGGAAUGAUAAGUCUGAUGUGAAAGCCCACGGCUCAACCGUGGAACUGCAUCGGAAACUGUCAUUCUUGAGUGCAGAAGAGGAGAGUGGAACUCCAUGUGUAGCGGUGGAAUGCGUAGAUAUAUGGAAGAACACCAGUGGCGAAGGCGGCUCUCUGGUCUGCAACUGACGCUGAGGCUCGAAAGCAUGGGUAGCGAACAGGAUUAGAUACCCUGGUAGUCCAUGCCGUAAACGAUGAGCGCUAGGUGUUGGGGACUUUCCGGUUCUCAGUGCCGCAGCAAACGCAUUAAGCGCUCCGCCUGGGGAGUACGACCGCAAGGUUGAAAC
rnacentral:rRNA from 1 species